rnacentral:rRNA from 1 species
CUACGGGUGGCUGCAGUGGGGAAUAUUGCACAAUGGGGGAAACCCUGAUGCAGCGACGCCGCGUGAGCGAUGAAGCCCUUCGGGGUGUAAAGCUCUUUCGGCAGGGACGAUUAUGACGGUACCUGCAGAAGCAGCUGCGGCUAACUACGUGCCAGCAGCCGCGGUAAUACGUAGGCAGCAAGCGUUGUUCGGAAUUACUGGGCGUAAAGGGUGCGUAGGCGGCUUUUUAAGUUUGGUGUGAAAUCUCCCGGCUCAACUGGGAGGGUGCGCCGAAUACUGAGAGGCUAGAGUGUGGGAGAGGAAAGUGGAAUUCCUGGUGUAGCGGUGAAAUGCGUAGAUAUCAGGAGGAACACCGGUGGUGUAAACGGCUUUCUGGACCAUAACUGACGCUGAGGCACGAAAGCGUGGGUAGCAAACAGGAUUAGAUACCCCGGUAGUC